AUCCUUUUUGGUUCAUAAGUUUGAUGAUGGGGUGUUUAAUGCUGUUGUGUGAAAUAUGUUUCCCUCUUUGUUAUGACUUCAGUAAUUACUUGUCUCAUG